CGAAUAAAAAAAUGGAAGCCUACAGCACCCCGGAUUCCCAUGUUGUCUCCAACCAUAGUACUAACGAGGCCCUCAGACGCUUAACUGCAGUGAUCGGACGGGAACUGGUGUUUUCGCCUAGGUAUGGCCGUAGACAGUUGUUUGAAUUAAUUGUAAAUUUUAUAGCUAAAUUAAAAAGAAAUUGCAGUGACACCAGUUGUAAUAUGACACAUUUCUGUUUGA